CCUACGGGAGGCAGCAGUGAGGAAUAUUGGUCAAUGGACGAGAGUCUGAACCAGCCAAGUAGCGUGAAGGAUGACUGCCCUAUGGGUUGUAAACUUCUUUUAUAUGGUAAUAAAAUGUUCCACGUGUGGGCUUUUGUAUGUACCAUAUGAAUAAGGAUCGGCUAACUCCGUGCCAGCAGCCGCGGUAAUACGGAGGAUCCGAGCGUUAUCCGGAUUUAUUGGGUUUAAAGGGAGCGUAGGUGGAUUGUUAAGUCAGUUGUGAAAGUUUGCGGCUCAACCGUAAAAUUGCAGUUGAAACUGGCAGUCUUGAGUACAGUAGAGGUGGGCGGAAUUCGUGGUGUAGCGGUGAAAUGCUUAGAUAUCACGAAGAACUCCGAUUGCGAAGGCAGCUCACUGGACUGCAACUGACACUGAGGCUCGAAAGUGUGGGUAUCAAACAGGAGUAGAUACCCGUGUAGUC
rnacentral:rRNA from 1 species